AUCUACCCAGUCUAUAUAUCAGUCUAUAUAUUCCGGAAAUGUUUACUAAGGCCUGAGCAGGAUUGUGUCUGAAGCCCUGCAGGACUGAUGGAUGACUCCGACUGCAUGACGUUUUUCCCGAAUUAAUACUCCUGAAUCAGUAUUCAGACACAUCCGGUUGUACACAAAUGUAGCGCCAAUUCACCCUGUAGAUUUGUGUAUGUGCUCCUGAGUAGCACCCCCGUUUUCUGUGUCCUGUGGUACAUUCCAUACUGUAAAUUAUAGGCAUGCAACCAUGGAGAAUGCCAUUACGGAGACAAGCAUCCGGACUGUUGCUUGCGUGAGUAGGCCUGCAGAUUUAAAGAAGAAUUGAGUUUUGGAUUGUGACUUUUCCACUGGAACGACCAGAUGUGUUUGUACAAGGAAGAAUCAUCUAGGAAUUUUGUCUAUACGUGAUAGAUUAGACAGGGUAUAAGAGAUGUGAAAACAUGUCAAGCAAAUAAGUGGGAAUUUCUUUAAUAUUGAUUUGACUCUUACAUUGUCUGAGACAUUAGACAGAGACGUUGUAGCUAGGUGAUGUUAAUUCAGCACUGUGGAUUUUGCAUUGAGUUUAGACAUGUGCUUUUUUGGGUUUAUAGCGUUCCUAUAUAUCCAGCUCAGAAUCAUUGUAUAGUCAUUUUAUUGUUAUGAUAAUGAACACCAUUCAUGUUGAUUUUUAAAUGUGCGAUCUUUGGAGAGCUCAGAGAGCCUAGAGACCGAAAAUCAGUGACUAUCUUUUUUUUUUUUUACUUGUUUUUUUUUCUUUACUUUUUUUUUAAUAUGAAGCAGGUUUUGUGGGUUAAAGUAAUGUAGAAAGCGGUACACUUUCAGUUUAGUGUCAUGGUAAAUGAUGUGCUUUGUUGUGUGUGUGUGUGUGUGUGUGUGUGUGUGUGGAGAUAGAGAGAGAGAGAGAGAGAGAGAGAGGCGGGGACACAGGGACCAAGGACAGCAGUGGUGAGAGCACUCGCUCUGCUUCCUCCACUCGAUCUCGAUAGUGUGUGUGUGUGUGUGUGUGUGUGUGUGUGUGUGUGUGUGUGUGUGUGUGUGUGUUCUUUCACACGCGAAACGGCAUCAUUUGUUACUGAGCCGAGAGCGAAUACAGCGACAUUCUGCUUUUGCCGGCUUGUGGAUCAGGAUAACGCGGAUUUUGCGCAUUUGGCGCUAUAGAAUUUGUUACCAAGUCAAGAAGAUCAUUCAUCAGCUACUUGACUAGGCUCAACAUUACAUAAAAGAGAUGAUGAGAAGAAGAAAAAAAAGAGAGAGUGGGAGGCAGAGAUGAAGUCCAACACCGCCAUCGGCUCUCUUCCUCCUCUGCAAGUCCGUCUCUCCAUCGCAGGGAAGGGUGGGAGUGCACCGAGGCCAGCCAGGGUGAGGCGUCAUGGGCUUGAGAAGCAUCCUGAACCCCGCUCGGUCAACAGCACCUCUGGAGCUCAGAGCUCAGAGAGAAAUCAAUACGGGGAAAGAGAGACUGAUUCUGGAUCACCCAACCUAGCCCUGAGCCUGCAGGCCAGAUGACCUCCCACACACACAGUCAUACACGCUGACACACAUACAAAUACAUACUGACAUACAGCUAUG